rnacentral:rRNA from 1 species
GACGAACGCUGGCGGCGUGCCUAAUACAUGCAAGUAGAACGCUGAAGAGAGGAGCUUGCUCUUCUUGGAUGAGUUGCGAACGGGUGAGUAACGCGUAGGUAACCUGCCUUGUAGCGGGGGAUAACUAUUGGAAACGAUAGCUAAUACCGCAUAACAAUGGAUGACACAUGUCAUUUAUUUGAAAGGGGCAAUUGCUCCACUACAAGAUGGACCUGCGUUGUAUUAGCUAGUAGGUGAGGUAACGGCUCACCUAGGCGACGAUACAUAGCCGACCUGAGAGGGUGAUCGGCCACACUGGGACUGAGACACGGCCCAGACUCCUACGGGAGGCAGCAGUAGGGAAUCUUCGGCAAUGGGGGCAACCCUGACCGAGCAACGCCGCGUGAGUGAAGAAGGUUUUCGGAUCGUAAAGCUCUGUUGUAAGUCAAGAACGAGUGUGAGAGUGGAAAGUUCACACUGUGACGGUAGCUUACCAGAAAGGGACGGCUAACUACGUGCCAGCAGCCGCGGUAAUACGUAGGUCCCGAGCGUUGUCCGGAUUUAUUGGGCGUAAAGCGAGCGCAGGCGGUUUGAUAAGUCUGAAGUUAAAGGCUGUGGCUCAACCAUAGUUCGCUUUGGAAACUGUCAAACUUGAGUGCAGAAGGGGAGAGUGGAAUUCCAUGUGUAGCGGUGAAAUGCGUAGAUAUAUGGAGGAACACCGGUGGCGAAAGCGGCUCUCUGGUCUGUAACCGACGCUGAGGCUCGAAAGCGUGGGGAGCGAACAGGAUUAGAUACCCUGGUAGUCCACGCCGUAAACGAUGAGUGCUAGGUGUUGGAUCCUUUCCGGGAUUCAGUGCCGCAGCUAACGCAUUAAGCACUCCGCCUGGGGAGUACGACCGCAAGGUUGAAACUCAAAGGAAUUGACGGGGGCCCGCACAAGCGGCGGAGCAUGUGGUUUAAUUCGAAGCAACGCGAAGAACCUUACCAGGUCUUGACAUCCCGAUGCUAUUUCUAGAGAUAGAAGGUUACUUCGGUACAUCGGUGACAGGUGGUGCAUGGUUGUCGUCAGCUCGUGUCGUGAGAUGUUGGGUUAAGUCCCGCAACGAGCGCAACCCCUAUUGUUAGUUGCCAUCAUUCAGUUGGGCACUCUAGCGAGACUGCCGGUAAUAAACCGGAGGAAGGUGGGGAUGACGUCAAAUCAUCAUGCCCCUUAUGACCUGGGCUACACACGUGCUACAAUGGUUGGUACAACGAGUUGCGAGUCGGUGACGGCAAGCUAAUCUCUUAAAGCCAAUCUCAGUUCGGAUUGUAGGCAGCAACUCGCCUACAUGAAGUCGGAAUCGCUAGUAAUCGCGGAUCAGCACGCCGCGGUGAAUACGUUCCCGGGCCU